UAGGGAAUCUCCCACAAUAGACGCAAGUCUGAUGGAGCAACGCCGCGUGAGUGAAGAAGGUCUUCGGAUCGUAAAACUCUGUUGUUAGAGAAGAACACGAGUGAGAGUAACUGUUCAUUCGAUGACGGUAUCUAACCAGCAAGUCACGGCUAACUACGUGCCAG
rnacentral:rRNA from 1 species